rfam:Neotoma lepida isolate 417 scaffold_57, whole genome shotgun sequence.
GGAGAGAUGGCUCAGUGGUUAAGAGCAUUUGCUGCUNUUGCAGAGGACCUGGGUUCAAUUCCCAGCACCC